rnacentral:rRNA from 1 species
GUGGGGAAUAUUGGGCAAUGGGCGAAAGCCUGACCCAGCAACGCCGCGUGAAGGAAGAAGGUCUUCGGAUCGUAAACUUCUAUCCUUGGUGAAGAUAAUGACGGUAGCCGAGAAGGAAGCCCCGGCUAACUACGUGCCAGCAGCCGCGGUAAUACGUAGGGGGCAAGCGUUGUCCGGAAUGAUUGGGCGUAAAGGGCGCGUAGGCGGCCUGGUAAGUCUGGAGUGAAAGUCCUGCUUUUAAGGUGGGAAUUGCUUUGGAUACUGUCGGGCUUGAGUGCAGGAGAGGUAAGCGGAAUUCCCGGUGUAGCGGUGAAAUGCGUAGAGAUCGGGAGGAACACCAGUGGCGAAGGCGGCUUACUGGACUGUAACUGACGCUGAGGCGCGAAAGUGUGGGGAGCAAACAGGAUUAGAAACCCGGGUAGUCC